UACGUAGGGUGCGAGCGUUGUCCGGAAUUAUUGGGCGUAAAGAGCUUGUAGGCGGUCUGUCGCGUCUGCUGUGAAAAUCCGGGGCUCAACCCCGGACUUGCAGUGGGUACGGGCAGACUAGAGUGUGGUAGGGGAGACUGGAAUUCCUGGUGUAGCGGUGAAAUGCGCAGAUAUCAGGAGGAACACCUAUUGCGAAGGCAGCUCGCUGGGACGUUACUGAC
rnacentral:rRNA from 1 species